rnacentral:rRNA from 1 species
UAAGAGGUCCCGCCUGCCCUGUGACAUUGAUUUAACGGCCGCGGUAUUUUGACCGUGCGAAGGUAGCGCAAUCACUUGUCUAUUAAAUGUAGACCUGUAUGAAUGGCAAGACGAGGGCUUAACUGUCUCCUUUAUCAAGUCAAUGAAAUUGAUUUUCCCGUGCAGAAGCGGGAAUAUAGCCAUUAGACGAGAAGACCCUAUGGAGCUUUAGACAUAAACAGUCCCUGUUAAACUCCUAGAAUAAAAGACUGAACAUAAUGGAUCCUGCCACAUGUCUUUGGUUGGGGCGACCACGGAGAAACAAGUAACCUCCAUGUGGAAUAAUAACACAGUUAUUUCAUUCAAGGGCUACAGCUCUACCCACCAGAAUUUCUGACCUAUAAGAUCCGGCAAUGCCGAUCAACGGACCGAGUUACCCUAGGGAUAACAGCGCAAUCCCCUUUUAGAGCCCAUAUCGACAAGGGGGUUUACGACCUCGAUGUUGGAUCAGGACAUCCUAAUGGUGCAGCCGCUAUUAAGGGUUCGUUUGUUCAACG